GUUAGGGGAGGUCCUAAGCCAAUCUGACUGGAGCCCUUAUAAGGAGAGGAGAUUAGGAUGCAGAGAGAGCUAGGGACAUCACGGGCAGAAUGGGGAGGAACGACCACGUGAGGACACAGGGAGGAGGCAGCUGUCUGUAGGCUAAGGAGAGCGGCCUCAGAAGAAACCAACUCUGCAAUAGUUUUAAGGUCAGGAUUUCUUGUUCCUGGAAUGUUUGGUAGAACGUGACGGUAAACCUGUCUGGUGUGGUGCUUCUAUAGGAAGGUUUUUAAAUUGUUGUUUCUGUAAUGGUAAUGUGUCUUUUUUCAUUCAUUGUUCUGGGCAUUUCUGGUAGUUUCCAUCUGGAAAUGCACAGUCAGGGCGUGGAAUGUUUGCUAGAAUUAUUUGAUCAUUUCUUCUUCACUGCCGUUGUUUUUCUUGAAACACCCAAUUGGAUAUCAAACCUCCAUGUUGAUAUUCUAAUUUGCUUUGCUCAAGGGCAUUUCGUUUAUCUUUUUGGAUGACUUCCUCAGCUUGCUUCCAGUUCUACAGAAUUUACUCUUUGCCUUUAUGUUUUUGUGGUGUCCCUGAGGUCAAGUUUAAACUCAGGAAUAACCUUUCACUCUGGUCUUCUUUCAGGGUGCCAGUGGGGUGGGGACCUGGCUUCACAGAGUGAGGCAGAUCUGUGGGCUCAAAUGCGCCUUUGCAGGACUCACAGCUGUUCUGUGUUUUCAGUCUCUCCUGGUGCAGAGGGUCACGUGCCUCACUUCCCAGCCCAUGAGAGUUGAGUGGGAAUCAGCCUGCUGCCUUUCCCCACCCUAGAACUUGGGCUUCAGCUUUCUCUGUUCUGCCACGUUAAUUGUCACUUCUCUAUCCACUUGCUGUUUUCCAAAACGGUUGAUCUCUCCUAUGCUGGUGUCUCUAAUUCUGUCUUCGUGGUCUCUUUUUAUUCCCUUACUGGCCAGUGGAGGUGCAGGAGUUGAUCUUGUUACUUCUACAGUAAUACAAGUGAGGUUUCAGCAUGUUGAUCACGGGGCCAGGUGGAUUUGUUAAUUUGUCUUCCCACACUCAGAGCUGACCAGAUCAGGAGGUAUGACCAGCAUUUGCUUCCUGGAGAACCCAACCUGCCACAACAGGAAACAUUUAGAUCCUACAAAGUCAGCUGGGAAGGGAAGGAAUUCAGAAAAAAGAAUGAAACACUGAAAACUGUAUAUCAAAUAAGAAGAAUGAUGUGGAUUGUCGACUGGGAGACUAUAAAACCCAUCACUGAGCUCUUCAGGUCACAGGCUAGAAACUGAUUGCUGCGCUCACCGGUGACCGCCCAGCUCGAGACAAUAGACUUGCCUCCUGCUACGCCCAUGAAGAUAGCAGACCCACUACCUGCUGUGUCCAUCAAGCGCUGUGCAGACAGGGCAAUCUUGUGACUAUUGUGGGAGGGACAUUUCAAUCAUAGUGAAACACCCUCUUUGAGGGUAUAUAACCCACCUAUGUACCCCCACUUCUUUGGAGUGCUCUGUUCCUUUGUGGAAAGACUCUCCCGGGUUAUAAUCCUAAGAUUUAAGCUCAGAAUAAACUCACCCAAAUUUUCAUUUACAGAUUGGUUAUGGAUUAUUUUCGUCGACAGAUCUUCCAAUAUGAGUAAGCAAAUGCCCACAUAUGGUUUAUCUCAGUCUCCAAAGCAUCUUUAUGCUCUAAAGGGCAUUUUUUUCACUUUCUGAAAGGAAUCACUGUCAAGGAACAAUGCAUAUUUUACAGUUGAAGAUACAUAGCUGAUUCUUCUGGUUUCCCAUUCUGAUUUUUUAAUAAUCUGGUUAUCAAGUAAGGCUUAGAAUCUUGGUUAUUCAAAGACUUUCAAGAAACUUAGCACAUUAUUCCCUGUCGUGCAGAAUAAAGCAAUUCAGAUGUUUCAACCCACAGGAUGUUCAAAACCACCAGAAACAUUGUACGAUUAAAAAUGUUCACAGAGGGGCUGGCCCCAUGGCCGAGUGGUUGAGUUUGCAUGCUCUGC
rnacentral:lncRNA from 1 species